rnacentral:rRNA from 1 species
AUGGACCCGCGGUGCAUUAGCUAGUUGGUGAGGUAACGGCUCACCAAGGCCACGAUGCAUAGCCGACCUGAGAGGGUGAUCGGCCACAUUGGGACUGAGACACGGCCCAAACUCCUACGGGAGGCAGCAGUAGGGAAUCUUCGGCAAUGGACGAAAGUCUGACCGAGCAACGCCGCGUGAGUGAAGAAGGUUUUCGGAUCGUAAAACUCUGUUGUUAGAGAAGAACAAGGGUGAGAGUAACUGUUCACCCCUUGACGGUAUCUAACCAGAAAGCCACGGCUAACUACGYGCCAGCAGCCGCGGUAAUACGUAGGUGGCWAGCGUYGUCCGGAUUUAUUGGGCGUAAAGCGAGCGCAGGCGGUUUCUUAAGUCUGAYGUGAAAGCCCCCGGCUCAACCGGGGAGGSYCAUUGGAAAMUGGGAGAYUYSAGUGCAGAAGASNAGWKUSGAAUUCCMUKUNUAGCGKUKARVNGCGYAGANAUAYGSAGGWWYASYHBUKSCGWYSGCGGCUCUCUGGUCUSUAACUGWCGCUKARGCUCRAAAGCGUGGGGAGCAMACAGGAUUAKAUACCCUGGURGUCCACGCCGUAAACGAUGAGUGCUAAGUGUUGGAGGGUUUCCGCCCUUCAGUGCUGCAGCUAACGCAUUAAGCACUCCGCCUGGGGAGUACGACCGCAAGGUUGAAACUCAAAGGAAUUGACGGGGGCCCGCACAAGCGGUGGAGCAUGUGGUUUAAUUCGAAGCAACGCGAAGAACCUUACCAGGUCUUGACAUCCUUUGACCACUCUAGAGAUAGAGCUUCCCCUUCGGGGGCAAAGUGACAGGUGGUGCAUGGUUGUCGUCAGCUCGUGUCGUGAGAUGUUGGGUUAAGUCCCGCAACGAGCGCAACCCUUAUUGUUAGUUGCCAUCAUUUAGUUGGGCACUCUAGCAAGACUGCCGGUGACAAACCGGAGGAAGGUGGGGAUGACGUCAAAUCAUCAUGCCCCUUAUGACCUGGGCUACACACGUGCUACAAUGGGAAGUACAACGAGUCGCGAAGUCGCGAGGCUAAGCUAAUCUCUUAAAGCUUCUCUCAGUUCGGAUUGUAGGCUGCAACUCGCCUACAUGAAGCCGGAAUCGCUAGUAAUCGCGGAUCAGCACGCCGCGGUGAAUACGUUCCCGGGCCUUGUACACACCGCCCGUCACACCACGAGAGUUUGUAAUCAUCACGCGAGGUCGGAUGACGUAUGCAUCGUGCAGCCGGCGAACCGCAGAGAG